CCUACGGGAGGCAGCAGUGAGGAAUAUUGGUCAAUGGACGAGAGUCUGAACCAGCGAAGUAGCGUGAAGGAUGAAUGCCCUCGGGGUUGUAAACUUCUUUUAUAUGGGAAUAAAACAGGGUAUGCAUACACUCUUGUACGUACCAUAUGCAUAAGGAUCGGCGAACUCCGUGCCAGGAGCCGCGGUAAUACGGAGGAUACGAGCGUUAUACGGAUUUAUUGGGUUUAAAGGGAGCGUAGGUGGAGUGGUAAGUCAGUUGUGAAAGUUUGCGGCUCAACCGUAAAAUUGCAGUUGAAACUGGCAGUCUUGAGUACAGUAGAGGUGGGCGGAAUUCGUGGUGUAGCGGUGAAAUGCUUAGAUAUCACGAAGAACUCCGAUUGCGAAGGCAGCUCACUGGACUGCAACUGACACUGAUGCUCGAAAGUGUGGGUAUCAAACAGGAUUAGAUACCCUUGUAGUC
rnacentral:rRNA from 1 species